AAAAAAGUCUUGCUAUUCUGUUCCAUAGCACUGCGUUCUGCAGGUUUCAGAUCUUUACUUUUAGAAGAAACGUCAGCCUCCCUUCUCCAACAUCCAGCACAGGGCACUGAUGAGCAGCAACACAGAAUCCUUCAGCAUUUUACUGAGGCAGAGAAGUGGUGUGCCGAGAACAUUUCUAUGUUCAGGGGGAACAUCUCACUCUCUCAUUACUGUCAAUGGACAAAGACGACAUUGAGGAGGCCCUUUAGAAAUUUAACUUGCUAUCUGAAUUUCCAAGAGGAGAGGGAAUAUGUCCUUAGACCCUUCAUCAUCCUUUAUUUCACAUAUGGAAGACAUGCAUCUGUUUUUAGAUAACGUGAGAGG